rnacentral:tRNA from 1 species
GGAGAGAUGCAGGAGUGGUUGAACUGGCUUGUCUCGAAAACAAGUGUGCUUUCGGGCACCGGGGGUUCGAAUCCCCCUCUCUCCGCCA